rnacentral:rRNA from 1 species
GGAAGGAUCUUGUCGAUACCUGCGAGGCAGACCGCGAACCCGUGUUUAACGAAUCGUCCGGGCGCGGCGGCGCGGCGGGGGCGCGCCCCCCGCCGGGCCGCCGGCCCCGGCACCCACCUCCCCCCUCCCGCCCCGUCCGCGGUGCGCCGGGUCGGGGAGGCGUGGCGUCUCGCGUGCAUACGAUGUCAAAACGACUCUCGGCAACGGAUAUCUCGGCUCUCGCAUCGAUGAAGAACGUAGCGAAAUGCGAUACUUGGUGUGAAUUGCAGAAUCCCGUGAACCAUCGAGUCUUUGAACGCAAGUUGCGCCCGAAGCCNUCCGGCCGAGGGCACCCCUGCCUGGGCGUNNCGCNUCGCGUCGCCCCCCUCCCCUCGGGGGGGCGGACAUUGGCCUCCCGUGCGCCCCGGCGCGCGGCCGGCCCAAAUGCGAUCCCCCGGCGACGCGCGUCGCGACCAGUGGUGGUUGAACGCUCAGCUCGCGCACUGUCCGUCGCGCUCCGCGUCGUCGUCCGGACGGGCAUCACGAACGAUCCUCGCGGCGCCUCCGGCGCCUCCGACCGCGACCCCAGGUCAGGCGGGAUUACCCG